rnacentral:rRNA from 1 species
UACGUAGGGUGCGAGCGUUAAUCGGAAUUACUGGGCGUAAAGCGUGCGCAGGCGGUUCGUUGUGUCGGUGGUGAAAGCCCCGGGCUCAACCUGGGAAUGGCCAUGGAAACUGGCGAACUGGAGUGUGGCAGAGGGGGGUGGAAUUCCGCGUGUAGCAGUGAAAUGCGUAGAGAUGCGGAGGAACACCGAUGGCGAAGGCAGCCCCCUGGGCUAGCACUGACGCUCAGGCACGAAAGCUGGGGGAGCGAACAGG